rnacentral:rRNA from 1 species
GACGUAGGGCGCGAGCGUUGUCCGGAUUUAUUGGGCGUAAAGAGCUCGUAGGCGGUUUGUCGCGUCGGGAGUGAAAACACCGGGCUUAACUCGGUGCUUGCUUUCGAUACGGGCAGACUGGAGGUAUGCAGGGGAGAACGGAAUUCCUGGUGUAGCGGUGAAAUGCGCAGAUAUCAGGAGGAACACCGGUGGCGAAGGCGGGUCUCUGGGCCGAUACUGACGCUGAGGAGCGAAAGCGUGGGGAGCGAACAGG